AAUUUAUUGGAUUGUCUUACUCAGUAUUAUCUAGGUAGUUCAAAACUGACUGAAGUCACUCUGGCAAAGCCAGGAAUCUGAGCGUGGCCUGGUGUGGUAGACUGGAUAUCUCAGCAGUUUCUAUCUGACACUGAAGGCCUGGUGGAUUCCUGUUGAGCUGUUUGUCUUCAGCACAUGCCAGAAGCCUGAGGUAGCUGGUUUAAGUGUCAAAGAAGAACCCAGUAGCCACAAUUGCUAGAUGGACUCAGCAGUAAGAGCAAAGGUGGGAGAGCCAUCUGAUGACAUCCUUUGAAGAAAGCUGAGCAUUUGUCCAGCACCACUCCAUCAGAUUUUCUGAAGUACAGUACUUGCCACUAAAAGGAAGUGGGAUAUGGAGCUUCAGGUAACUAAUUUUCCCACUAUCCCUUUCUUAGAUUGUAAUGGAACCUUCAUUAUGAAUAGACAAACAUAGUGUAGAGCCACAAGGCCUUCAAGACACCUUUCCUUUCAUCUUUCUAUAAAAUCUCAUGAUAUUCUGAACGGUUUAAAGGACUAAGCUGAUGAUGGUCCAGAGGACCAAGGGAAGACAGUCAAGAGAGGAACAUCAGAUUGGAAAGGUGGAUUAUUUGAAACUAAGAUGUUUGCUACAAAGGUUCUUUUGCCAAUGCUCUCUUUUUCUUUUAAUUUUGAAAAAGAAAUGUGAAGUAGAGAAUGAAAGUGUGACCCAUAAGGCUGGGCCAGACCUUUGAAAGCCUAUUUGAGAAUGCUGGCCAGGGGACAGAGGGUGACGGCUCCGUGUGGAUGUGGCCAUACCUCCUGGCAUCUGCCUUGAGGCAGAAACAACUGCCUGAAAUCAGUCACAGGGCUGUUCUGCUUCACUUCCCUCAGAGAUCACUUGCUGCAUUUCCAGCUCUUUUUAAUUCAAAUUCUAGAGUUUUGGAUAUCUCAAGAGAACUCACAAGUGCAGCAUGUUGUGAACUCCUGGUAGGCUGUCAGAGGCAUCUGCCUUUGAGCUCCUUCUUUUAUCGAGGUGCAUGAAUGGAUGGAAGUACUGAUUUGUCUUUGUCACUUCCCCCAUCCUGCUUUACAGAAUCCAGUGUGAGAUACUUUGCUGGAAGUUGGAAUGAGCUCUGUUGUUUUGCCACACUUAGCAUCCUAUGAUGUCAUACCGAUCUCAUUGAUCUCUGGAUGUUCUGAAAGAACAUGUGUCACACGACUGUUUUGUUUAACCUACCAAAUAUUUGUGAGAAUCAAAAAGUAAUACUUAUAUUGUAUGUAUGCAUGUGUGCAUGUUCUGACAUUCAUCUCCUGCCAGACAAGGUCUUGUUUAGACUAGAUUUUGACAAGUCGGCCAUACUGUGAAAGAACAAGCUUUGGGGAUGCACCUGUGUCUGCCUUCCCAGGGCUAGACAUACAAGCACACACUCCAUACUUGCCAUUUCGUCUGAAUUCUGGGGCUUGAUUUCAGGUCCUUAAACUUGGAAAGCAAGCUUUACUAACUGAGCUGUCUCCUCAGCCUGAAAGGAUGAUUUUAACAGUUCCAAGUUGAUUUCACUUUCUACUUAACCUAAACUGGAUACCCCAUCACUUAUAAAACUCCUGCUAUCCCACUAAAUGUACUGUUUGGAAAUAGAAAAUUAAAACAAUGAAGCCA
rnacentral:lncRNA from 1 species